GACGAACGUUGGCGGCGUGCUUAAUACAUGCAAGUCAACUGAAGCAGUGGUAGCAAUAUCGCUGUGGAGGUGGCGCACGGGUGAGUAACACGUAGGUAAUCUGCCUUCAGGUCUGGCAUAACUCCGGGAAACCGGGGCUAAUAGCAGAUGAUGCAGCGGCUCGACAUCGAGACAGUUGUUAAAGCUAUGGCGCCUGAAGAUGAGCCUGCGUCUGAUUAGCUAGUUGGCGGGGUAACGGCCCACCAAGGCAACGAUCAGUAGCUGGUCUGAGAGGAUGAUCAGCCACACUAGAACUGAGACACGGUCCAGACUCCUACGGGAGGCAGCAGUAAGGAAUAUUGCGCAAUGGGAGAAAUCCUGAAGCAGCAACGCCGCGUGAGGGACGAAGGGCUUUUGCUUGUAAACCUCUGUAGUGAGAGAAAAAAAUCCCAAUCUUUGGGACAUGAUGGUAUCUCAAAAGUAAGCCCCGGCUAACUACGUG
rnacentral:rRNA from 1 species